UUCCUUUUAUCGUCAUCCUGGAGCUCUAGGGCAGCUAAUGCAAGAGGCCAAAAAUGUUUUGGAGGAAGAAAAACAAAGGCAGGAAGUGGUGGCGGCCUGACGGUGCGUGUACAUCUUUGGAGAAGGGAGGGAGCCUUUUCAAUCUCUUGUUUUUGCAAACUUCAAGGUGCUCCACACAG
rfam:Erinaceus europaeus cont1.604119, whole genome shotgun sequence.